rnacentral:rRNA from 1 species
GUCCUCUUGGUUUUUUAAGAGGUCUGGCCUGCCCAGUGAAAUAAUUUUAACGGCCGCGGUAUUUUGACCGUGCAAAGGUAGCAUAAUCAUUAGUCUUUUAAUAGAGGGCUGGAAUGAAAGGUUUAACGAAACAUUAGCUGUCUCAUAUUUAUAAUUUAAAAUUUAAUUUUUAAGUUAAAAAGCUUAAAUUUUGUUGGAGGACGAGAAGACCCUAUAGAGUUUUAUAUUAGAAAUUUUAAUGAAGGUUUUGUUAAAUAUUUUAAAUUAAUUUUUUUAAUAUUUUGUUGGGGUGACAAAUAAAUAUGAAUAACUUUUUUAUUUUAUAUACAUAAAUUUAUGAAUAUUUGAUCCAUUAUUAUUGAUUAUUAGAUUAAAUUACCUUAGGGAUAACAGCGUAAUCUUUUUUUGGAGUUCAAAUUUACAAAAAGGCUUGCGACCUCGAUGUUGGAUUAAGAUAAUAAUUUGGUGCAGUAGCUAAAUUAAUAGGUCUGUUCGACCUUUAAAUUCUUACAUGAUCUGAGUUCAGACCGG